CCUACGGGUGGCAGCAGUGAGGAAUAUUGGUCAAUGGACGAGAGUCUGAACCAGCCAAGUAGCGUGAAGGAUGACUGCCCUAUGGGUUGUAAACUUCUUUUAUAUGGGAAUAAAAUGUUCCACGUGUGGGAUUUUGUAUGUACCAUAUGAAUAAGUAUCGGCUAACUCCGUGCCAGCAGCCGCGGUAAUACGGAGGAUCCGAGCGUUAUCCGGAUUUAUUGGGUUUAAAGGGAGCGUAGGUGGAUUGUUAAGUCAGUUGUGAAAGUUUGCGGCUCAACCGUAAAAUUGCAGUUGAAACUGGCAGUCUUGAGUACACUAGAGGUGGGCGGAAUUCGUGGUGUAGCGGUGAAAUGCUUAGAUAUCACGAAGAACUCCGAUUGCGAAGGCAGUUCACUGGACUGCAACUGACACUGAGGCUCGAAAGUGUGGGUAUCAAACAGGAUUAGAUACCCUUGUAGUC
rnacentral:rRNA from 1 species